UACGGAGGGAGCUAGCGUUGUUCGGAAUUACUGGGCGUAAAGCGCGCGUAGGCGGCUUUGUAAGUUAGGGGUGAAAGCCCGGAGCUCAACUCCGGAACUGCCUUUAAGACUGCAUCGCUUGAAUCCAGGAGAGGUGAGUGGAAUUCCGAGUGUAGAGGUGAAAUUCGUAGAUAUUCGGAAGAACACCAGUGGCGAAGGCGGCUCACUGGACUGGUAUUGACGCUGAGGUGCGAAAGCGUGGGGAGCAAACAGG
rnacentral:rRNA from 1 species